AGACUGGAACUGAGACACGGUCCAGACUCCUACGGGAGGCAGCAGUGAGGAAUCUUCCACAAUGGGCGAAAGCCUGAUGGAGCAACGCCGCGUGCAGGAUGAAGGCCUUCGGGUUGUAAACUGCUUUUAUAAGUGAGGAUUAUGACAGUAACUUAUGAAUAAGGAUCGGCUAACUACGUGCCAGCAGCCGCGGUCAUACGUAGGAUCCGAGCGUUAUCCGGAGUGACUGGGCGUAAAGAGUUGCGUAGGCGGUUUAAUAAGUGAAUAGUGAAACCUGGUGGCUCAACCAUACAGACUAUUAUUCAAACUGUUAAACUCGAGAGUAGUAGAGGUAACUGGAAUUUCUAGUGUAGGAGUGAAAUCCGUAGAUAUUAGAAGGAACACCAAUGGCGUAGGCAGGUUACUGGACUAUUUCUGACGCUAAGGCACGAAAGCGUGGGGAGCGAACCGGAUUAGAUACCCGGGUAGUCCACGCCGUAAACGAUGGAUACUAGCUGUUGGAGGUAUCGACCCCUUCAGUAGCGAAGCUAACGCGUUAAGUAUCCCGCCUGUGGAGUACGGCCGCAAGGCUAAAACAUAAAGGAAUUGACGGGGACCCGCACAAGCGGUGGAUCAUGUUCUUUAAUUCGAUGAUAAACGAAGAACCUUACCAGGGUUUGACAUCCCGAGAAGAUUUACGAAAGUAGAUUGUGCCUUUUGGAACUCGGUGACAGAUGAUGCAUGGCCGUCGUCAGCUCGUGUCGUGAGAUGUUUGGUUAAGUCCAUCAACGAGCGCAACCCUUGUGAAUAGUUGAAUUUUUCUAUUCAGACUGCCCCGGCAACGGGGAGGAAGGAGGGGAUGAUGUCAGGUCAGUAUUUCUCUUACAUCCUGGGCUAGAAACGUGAUACAAUGGCAAGUACAAUGCGCAGCGAAGCCGCGAGGUGAAGCAAAUCGCACCAAAGCUUGUCCCAGUUCGGAUUGGAGGCUGAAACUCGCCUCCAUGAAGUCGGAAUCGCUAGUAAUCGCAGGUCAGCAAACUGCGGUGAAUACGUUCCCGGGUCUUGUACACACCGCCCGUCAAGCCAUGAAAGUGACCAACACCCGAAGUCCGAUUCGUCGGCCUAAGGUGGGGGGCAUGAUUGGGGUUAAGUCGUAACAAGGUAUCCGUACCGGAAGGUGCGGAUG
rnacentral:rRNA from 1 species